UACGUAGGGUGCAAGCGUUAAUCGGAAUUACUGGGCGUAAAGCGUGCGCAGGCGGUUAUGUAAGACAGUUGUGAAAUCCCCGGGCUCAACCUGGGAACUGCAUCUGUGACUGCAUAGCUAGAGUACGGUAGAGGGGGAUGGAAUUCCGCGUGUAGCAGUGAAAUGCGUAGAUAUGCGGAGGAACACCGAUGGCGAAGGCAAUCCCCUGGACCUGGUACUGACGCUCAUGCACGAAAGCGUGGGGAGCAAACAGG
rnacentral:rRNA from 1 species